AUAAACAGUUCUCUUGGUUCUGCUCACUUUGUUCUGCACUUGUUUAUGCUGACCAGAAUUCUCUGAAAUCAUUUCUUUUCUCAUUUCUCAUAGGGUAUUACGUAUAUCUCUAUUCCAGUUUUUGCUCAGCCAUUGCCUAAUUAAGGGGAAUCCCCCCAGAUAUUUCCCUUCCUCUUUUCAUCAUUUAGUCUCCUGUCCUGUCCUCUCUUCCCCUUUCUUUCUGUUCCAUCCCCUGCCCUCCCCUCCUUUCUCCUCUCCUUAACUCUAUGUGCUUCUAUUUCUUAAAAUUUAAAAUAAGGAUGACCGUAUCAACUCUCUCCCAAAAUUAUGAGAAUCAAACGACAUAAUAUUUGUAAAGUGCCUAGCACAAUCAGGCACUCGGUAGGUGAUUAAUAAAUGCUUAUUUCCAGUUUCUCUGGUUUUCCUUCCCCUCUCCUCUUCUUCCUUUUCUCCCUCUUUUUCUGGUUUCUCCAGCUUCUUUUGAGUUCCAACUAAAGUCCUUCCUGAUGGAAGAGGCUCCUACCACCCCCCUCACCCCAGGUCUCCUUAAUUCUAGUUCCUUCCUCUUCUUAAUCUAUUGCCACUUUUCCCAUCUAGUCUUAGUCAUAGUUGUUGUCAUGCCACAUUACACAGUGAACUCUUUAAGAACACUUCCUGUCUUUGCCUUUUUCUACAUCCCCAGACUUAGUACAGUGCCUGGCACACAAGUAGGCAUUUAACUCAUGCAUAUUAACUGUUGACUGACUCCUUGUCUCCUCACUUUUCCAAAGAAGUAUCUCUCAAUCCCUCUGAAUGCUAGGGCCUUCCCUCUCCUCUUUAUUCCCCAUUUUCCAGGUCUUUAUCUUGUCAGUAUUGUUACUGACAGAUGGUUUCCCCCAAAGAUUCUUUCAAGACUUCAUAUAGGCAAAAUGAUACCGGGUUGACAGGAAAUUUUUUUUUAUAUAUAUUGCAAUGUUGUAUAUUCCUCUUAGGCUGUAAAAGUUGAAGAAAAGUCAGAUACUCCAUUCAAUAUCAUAAAAGUUGAACAAACUUUGUUAGAGUCAUUAGCUCAUUUAUCCCGAGGAAACAAACUUCACCAAAUUUUCUGGGUAAACUCUAUCAGGUUAUAGACUAAACUACAUUCAGAGAGUACACAAAUAGACUAAAUGAAAAAGAAGUUUCCCAUGUUUCCAAGGAAUCUGGGACCGUUUUGGCUGCUCAUGCAUGGCAUGUUUAGGCUUUAAGUAAAAUUCACAUUCCAUGGGAAAGAUUUUGCUCAGAUGAGGUUAAUAUUAACAGAAGAAAGGGUUUUAGAUAACCAAAAUUUGCAGGAGGAAUGACACUUAGUCUCAAAUAAUAAAAGGAAAUUUAAUAAAUAAAAAAUAAUAAUUCCCAUUAUUGCUUAGUUGUUUUAGGGAGGUGGGAGCUGGGUUACAGUUCUGGAAAGCAUCUCAGCCAGAAGCCCCCUUCUUACUGUGAGUAUAAAUAUAUUAAUGAGAGGAGAGGAAAGAAGAGAGGGGACAGUGAAGAGCAUAUCCUAGGAGGAUCAUGAGUCUGGGAUAGAUGACUGGAGAGCCUCAGUCCUGCAUUUCCAGAAGGAGGAGAGAGAAAUCAUUAUUUUUCUCUUAUAUUUGGAACCACUUAGUAAAUGGCGAGUGAGGUUUUUCCUUUCUAUUUGCUCAUGCAGGGACCAGUGUCUGUAGACACUGAUCGAUACAAUCAGUCUUUGAAGGACAUUGCUGACAGGUGAGUUUGUCCAAAUCUUCUGAAGUUCCCGACCUAACCAACUCUUAUGAAGAGAUUUUUCUAGGUGGACUCUUGCCCUUGGGAAGUAAGCCUUUGCCCUUACAGACCCUCCUUUAGAAUUUGGGGUGACCCAGCUUGUGAAGGAGCAAACUAAGCUGAGGGGCCUGGAUAGAGAUGGAUUCCUUUGUCCAGAUUGAUUGGAGGCUGCUGAGAGUCGUGAUCAAAUCAUGUUCCCAACAGGAGGAGCUGGAGACUUUUAGCCCACCUCCUCAGUCACCCCUUCAUUAAUUGUGUUCACAAUCCAGGCUGAUUUUCACCUGUCAAAGGCUCCUCCUUUCCAAAGGUAUUUAAGCAUUAAGGGAUCUCCAUGGUUUUGUCUUUGUUUGUCAAGAGAGAACAACGGUCAUCAAGUUAUUGAGCAUAAUUAAUAAACUGAUCAUUAAUAACCCAGAAACUCUCUCGAGUGCGUCAGGUGUCACAAAAGCGCAUCGUGACUGUUCUUGCUUGAUAAUUUGUCCCUUGGGCUCCUGCCCAGCGUUCUGUGGCCCAUGGAACAAUCUCAUUCUGGUGGAGCUAAUUGGAGCUCAUUUUAUAUCAGAGGCAAAUGAAAGAGGUUUUAUCCCAGGCCAAACAGGCAGUUCAGGUCCUGGUCCUUGGUCUCCAACUCCAGGCCUCCUAAGUAAGUCUGAAGGGCCUUCAUAAAAGCUCAGAGGGAAAUGGAGGAAGGAGAUGGAGGAGGGAGAUGGAGGGAGGGAGCUCUCUCUGAUUCCCCCAAUAACCAGUCACCCAUCACAGAGACACCUUUCCUUCCUAUUCUCCCAAUAAAGAGAGAGUUGUUCUCUCCUCCCAAACCCAGGCCUGAGCACACUGGGAGUCAGUAGGAAGAACGGGGUCCUUAAAGGGACUGCCAUCCUCAUUCUGGUCUCCACUUCUCUCUGGCCCCUACACUUGUACUGAGGGCAGGACCUGUCCGGUGCUGAUCAGGGUCGGGACUGUCCGCCCCGGGCGUGGUGCCCGAGCCGGGAGGGGGCGCAGCUCCCAGCGGCUUGGGGUCCCCUCUGCCCCUCCCCUGGGGCCACCAGCGUCCGGCUGCCUGGGCGGGGCAGGGGCUGCGGGGCCGGGGCUCCUCCCUCCCGGCCCGGGCUCAGCGCAGGGCGGCGUACAGGCUGGGCUCCGCCCGGGCCGAAGGGGGAGGCUCCUGGGCCCCCGCCCUGAGACUGCCGAGGUUCAGCUGGGCGUACGUCACUUGCUGAGGGUC
rnacentral:lncRNA from 1 species